AGGUUGCCUGUGAGGUGUUCACUUUUCUAAGCGAUGAAUAUUAUACAGUCAACCUCU
rnacentral:pre_miRNA from 1 species